rnacentral:rRNA from 1 species
AUUGAACGCUGGCGGCAGGCCUAACACAUGCAAGUCGAACGAGUGGCGGACGGGUGAGUAAUGUCUGGGAAACUGCCUGAUGGAGGGGGAUAACUACUGGAAACGGUAGCUAAUACCGCAUACCAUCGGAUGUGCCCAUAUGGGAUUAGCUAGUAGGGGGGGUAAAGGCGCACGUAGGCGACGAUCCCUAGCUGGUCUGAGAGGAUGACCAGCCACACUGGAACUGAGACACGGUCCAGACGCCUCAGUGAGGCAGCAGUGGGGAAUAUUGCACAAUGGGCGCAAGCCUGAUGCAGCCAUGCCGCGUGUAUGAAGAAGGCCUUGGGGUUGUAAAGUACUUUCAGUGGGGAGGCGUUACCCGCAGAAGAAGCACCGGCUAACUCCGUGCCAGCAGCCGCGGUAAUAC